AUCUAUGGUGGCGCUGGUGGGGCCGACUUCGGUCGGGCCGGUUCCCUUUUGCGCCGGUUUUUCCACCCCCAUCAGCGUCACCGCCAUA
rnacentral:antisense_RNA from 1 species